GGCCCGUUGGUGAAGUGGACAAACACACCGCCCUUUCAAGGCGGCAUUCAGGGGUUCGAAUCCCCUACGGGUCACCA
rnacentral:tRNA from 2 species